rnacentral:rRNA from 1 species
GACGUGCUAAUCUGCGAUAAGCGUCGGUAAGGUGAUAUGAACCGUUAUAACCGGCGAUUUCCGAAUGGGGAAACCCAGUGUGAUUCGUCACACUAUCAUUAACUGAAUCCAUAGGUUAAUGAGGCGAACCGGGGGAACUGAAACAUCUAAGUACCCCGAGGAAAAGAAAUCAACCGAGAUUCCCCCAGUAGCGGCGAGCGAACGGGGAGCAGCCCAGAGCCUGAAUCAGUGUGUGUGUUAGUGGAAGCGUCUGGAAAGGCGUGCGAUACAGGGUGACAGCCCCGUACACAAAAAUGCACAUACUGUGAGCUCGAUGAGUAGGGCGGGACACGUGGUAUCCUGUCUGAAUAUGGGGGGACCAUCCUCCAAGGCUAAAUACUCCUGACUGACCGAUAGUGAACCAGUACCGUGAGGGAAAGGCGAAAAGAACCCCGGCGAGGGGAGUGAAAAAGAACCUGAAACCGUGUACGUACAAGCAGUGGGAGCACGCUUAGGCGUGUGACUGCGUACCUUUUGUAUAAUGGGUCAGCGACUUAUAUUCUGUAGCAAGGUUAACCGAAUAGGGGAGCCGAAGGGAAACCGAGUCUUAACUGGGCGUUAAGUUGCAGGGUAUAGACCCGAAACCCGGUGAUCUAGCCAUGGGCAGGUUGAAGGUUGGGUAACACUAACUGGAGGACCGAACCGACUAAUGUUGAAAAAUUAGCGGAUGACUUGUGGCUGGGGGUGAAAGGCCAAUCAAACCGGGAGAUAGCUGGUUCUCCCCGAAAGCUAUUUAGGUAGCGCCUCGUGAAUUCAUCUCCGGGGGUAGAGCACUGUUUCGGCAAGGGGGUCAUCCCGACUUACCAACCCGAUGCAAACUGCGAAUACCGGAGAAUGUUAUUACGGGAGACACACGGCGGGUGCUAACGUCCGUCGUGAAGAGGGAAACAACCCAGACCGCCAGCUAAGGUCCCAAAGUCAUGGUUAAGUGGGAAACGAUGUGGGAAGGCCCAGACAGCCAGGAUGUUGGCUUAGAAGCAGCCAUCAUUUAAAGAAAGCGUAAUAGCUCACUGGUCGAGUCGGCCUGCGCGGAAGAUGUAACGGGGCUAAACCAUGCACCGAAGCUGCGGCAGCGACGCUUAUGCGUUGUUGGGUAGGGGAGCGUUCUGUAAGCCUGUGAAGGUGUGCUGUGAGGUAUGCUGGAGGUAUCAGAAGUGCGAAUGCUGACAUAAGUAACGAUAAAGCGGGUGAAAAGCCCGCUCGCCGGAAGACCAAGGGUUCCUGUCCAACGUUAAUCGGGGCAGGGUGAGUCGACCCCUAAGGCGAGGCCGAAAGGCGUAGUCGAUGGGAAACAGGUUAAUAUUCCUGUACUUGGUGUUACUGCGAAGGGGGGACGGAGAAGGCUAUGUUGGCCGGGCGACGGUUGUCCCGGUUUAAGCGUGUAGGCUGGUUUUCCAGGCAAAUCCGGAAAAUCAAGGCCGAGGCGUGAUGACGAGGCACUACGGUGCUGAAGCAACAAAUGCCCUGCUUCCAGGAAAAGCCUCUAAGCAUCAGGUAACAUCAAAUCGUACCCCAAACCGACACAGGUGGUCAGGUAGAGAAUACCAAGGCGCUUGAGAGAACUCGGGUGAAGGAACUAGGCAAAAUGGUGCCGUAACUUCGGGAGAAGGCACGCUGAUACGUAGGUGAAGCGACUUGCUCGUGGAGCUGAAAUCAGUCGAAGAUACCAGCUGGCUGCAACUGUUUAUUAAAAACACAGCACUGUGCAAACACGAAAGUGGACGUAUACGGUGUGACGCCUGCCCGGUGCCGGAAGGUUAAUUGAUGGGGUUAGCGCAAGCGAAGCUCUUGAUCGAAGCCCCGGUAAACGGCGGCCGUAACUAUAACGGUCCUAAGGUAGCGAAAUUCCUUGUCGGGUAAGUUCCGACCUGCACGAAUGGCGUAAUGAUGGCCAGGCUGUCUCCACCCGAGACUCAGUGAAAUUGAACUCGCUGUGAAGAUGCAGUGUACCCGCGGCAAGACGGAAAGACCCCGUGAACCUUUACUAUAGCUUGACACUGAACAUUGAGCCUUGAUGUGUAGGAUAGGUGGGAGGCUUUGAAGUGUGGACGCCAGUCUGCAUGGAGCCGACCUUGAAAUACCACCCUUUAAUGUUUGAUGUUCUAACGUGGACCCGUGAUCCGGGUUGCGGACAGUGUCUGGUGGGUAGUUUGACUGGGGCGGUCUCCUCCUAAAGAGUAACGGAGGAGCACGAAGGUUGGCUAAUCCUGGUCGGACAUCAGGAGGUUAGUGCAAUGGCAUAAGCCAGCUUGACUGCGAGCGUGACGGCGCGAGCAGGUGCGAAAGCAGGUCAUAGUGAUCCGGUGGUUCUGAAUGGAAGGGCCAUCGCUCAACGGAUAAAAGGUACUCCGGGGAUAACAGGCUGAUACCGCCCAAGAGUUCAUAUCGACGGCGGUGUUUGGCACCUCGAUGUCGGCUCAUCACAUCCUGGGGCUGAAGUAGGUCCCAAGGGUAUGGCUGUUCGCCAUUUAAAGUGGUACGCGAGCUGGGUUUAGAACGUCGUGAGACAGUUCGGUCCCUAUCUGCCGUGGGCGCUGGAGAACUGAGGGGGGCUGCUCCUAGUACGAGAGGACCGGAGU